rnacentral:rRNA from 1 species
UUGAACUGAAGAGUUUGAUCCUGGCUCAGAUUGAACGCUGGCGGCAUGCCUUACACAUGCAAGUCGAACGGCAGCACGGGCUUCGGCCUGGUGGCGAGUGGCGAACGGGUGAGUAAUACAUCGGAACAUGUCCU